AAUAAAAAAUUUUCUGUCUCUUAAAAUAAAAGCUCUAUGUUCUCUAUAAAAAAGCUUUCUCCGCCGCUGCCUAAGAUUACUUGUUUCAGUGGCUUUUUUCAGCAUCGGAAGCGAGGUUUCUUUACUUUCUUUCUUUAGUUUUGAUUUCUUUUUGUUUUGGUAUGAUCUGAAUCAUAUUUUCUUCCAAUGGUUUAAGAUCUAAAUUCUCAUAUCUAGAUCAAUAAAGUCUAAAUCCUUUCAUCUACGGGAUUUGCUGCUUGUUUUUUACUCCUUCAUCUACAGCUUUAGUUCUGGUCGUUCCAACCAUGCCAGAGGUAGAUCUAUUCGAUUCUUCAACGCCUUAGAUGCAUACUUCUCACCAUUGAAGAUCUCGAUCUCCUUCCUUUCUUUAUGAGAUUUUUUUCCUUUGGGUCUUCGGGUGUUGGUUUGUCUCACCGCCGUUUACGGUAAGAAGAAUAUUGAUUUUAUUUUCUUUGAAUGGAUCUCUAAUCUCAGAUCUAUAUUUUGUUUUAAUUUGGAUUUAGAAUUUGUAUUAGAUUUUUGAGUUCUUAAGUGAUAAGUUUGGGAAGUUUUGGAUCAGUUUUAAUAUGUUUUUUUUAUUCUGGAAUUUUUCCUUUUUGUAUAUGUAUUUGUCUCUAGAAAAUCCGUUUUCUCGCCGGCUUAACUUCUGAACUGGUUAUUUUUCUUACCCGGCAUAUGUAUUUUACCCCUUAUGAUAUUUUUUAUAAAUGAAAUCUUAAUUUUUACUGAAAAAA